CAAAGGCCCCAAAGGAAGCCACGGCUAACUCUGUGCCAGCAGCCGCGGUAAUACAGAGGUGGCAAGCGUUGUUCGGUAUUAUUGGGCGUAAAGAGCACGUAGGUGGUUCUGUAAGUCAGAUGUGAAAGCCUUUUGUUCAAAGGAAGAACGGCAUCUGAAACUACAGAUCUUGAGUGUAGGAGGGGAGAGUGGAACUUCUGGUGGAGCGGUGAAAUGCGUGGAUAUCAGAAGGAACGUCGGCGGCGAAAGCGACUCUCUGGCCUAUUACUGACACUGAGUGUGCGAAAGUUAGGGGAGCAAACGGGAUUAGAUACCCCGGUAGUCCUAACUGUAAA
rnacentral:rRNA from 1 species